UACAGGGGGGGCAAGCGUUGUUCGGAAUUACUGGGCGUAAAGGGCUCGUAGGCGGCCAACUAAGUCACACGUGAAAUCCCCAGGCUUAACCUGGGAACUGCGUGUGAUACUGGAUGGCUUGAAUUCGGGAGAGGGAUGCAGAAUUCCAGGUGUAGCGGUGAAAUGCGUAGAUAUCUGGAGGAAUACCGGUGGCGAAGGCGGCAUCCUGGACUGACAUUGACGCUGAUGCACGAAGGCCAGGGGAGCAAACGGG
rnacentral:rRNA from 1 species